rnacentral:rRNA from 1 species
GACGAACGCUGGCGGCAUGCCUAAUACAUGCAAGUCGAGCGAACAGAUGAAGUGCUUGCACUUCUGACGUUAGCGGCGAACGGGUGAGUAACACGUAAGGAAUCUACCUAUAAGCGGGGGAUAACAUUCGGAAACGGGUGCUAAUACCGCAUAAUAUCUUCUUCCGCAUGGAAGAAGAUUGAAAGACGGCUCUGCUGUCACUUAUAGAUGACCUUGCGGUGCAUUAGUUAGUUGGUGGGGUAAUAGCCUACCAAGACGAUGAUGCAUAGCCGAGCUGAGAGGGUGGUCGGCCACGUUGGGACUGAGCCACGGCCCAAACGCCUACGGGAGGCAGCAGUAGGGAAUCUUCCGCAAUGGGCGAAAGACUGACGGAGCAAUGCCGCGUGAGUGAAGAAGGCCUUCGGGUCGUAAAACUCUGUUAUAAGAGAAGAACAAAUUGUAGAGUAACUGCUACAGUCUUGACGGUAUCUUAUCAGAAAGCCACGGCUAACAACGUGCCAGCAGCCGCCGUAA